GAGCAUGCAGCGCAUGCAACAGCACAGCAUUGUUGACAUGGUUGAUGUAUCUGUUCCUCCUUGCUCCAGUUUUCUCUUUGAACGGACUCCCGAUGACACCCACAUCACAUGACCAGCUUCAACCAUGCUCCAAGCAUGCUCCAGUGCCUGCUUCAACCAGUUCCUAAAGCAAUAAUCUCAACUCAAGACGAAGACACCUAUUCUUUCAAGUUCAACUGCAAGAUUCCUGCUUUUUCUCUUUACCCAUUCAAAACACAUUUUCCUUCUAGCCAUAAUGUUAUUUUUAGAAGUCAUGAAA